GUAAGCUACUAAGAGCGAAUGGUGGAUGCCUUGACUGGUAAAGGCGAUGAAGGACGUACUAGACUGCGAUAAGCUACGGGGAGCUGUCAAGAAGCUUUGAUCCGUAGAUUUCCGAAUGGGGCAACCCAAUGUAUAGAGAUAUACAUUACCUAUAUAGGAGCGAACGAGGGGAAUUGAAACAUCUUAGUACCCUCAGGAAAAGAAAUCAAUAGAGAUUGCGUCAGUAGCGGCGAGCGAAAGCGCAAGAGGGCAAACCCAGUGCUUGCACUGGGGGUUGUAGGACUGCAAUGUGCAAGAGGUGAGUUUAGCAGAACAUUCUGGAAAGUAUAGCCAUAGAGGGUGAUAGUCCCGUAUGCGAAAAACAAACCUUAGCUAGCAGUAUCCUGAGUAGGGCGGGACACGAGAAAUCCUGUCUGAAGCUGGGUCGACCACGAUCCAACCCUAAAUACUAAUACCAGAUCGAUAGUGCACAAGUACCGUGAGGGAAAGGUGAAAAGAACUGAGGUGAUCAGAGUGAAAUAGAACCUGAAACCAUUUGCUUACAAUCAUUCAGAGCACUAUGUAGCAAUACAGUGUGAUGGACUGCCUUUUGCAUAAUGAGCCUGCGAGUUGUGGUGUCUGGCAAGGUUAAGCAAACGCGAAGCCGUAGCGAAAGCGAGUCUGAAUAGGGCGCUUAGUCAGAUGCUGCAGACCCGAAACGAAGUGAUCUAUCCAUGAGCAAGUUGAAGCUAGUGUAAGAACUAGUGGAGGACUGAACCCAUAGGCGUUGAAAAGCCCCGGGAUGACUUGUGGAUAGGGGUGAAAGGCCAAUCAAACUUCGUGAUAGCUGGUUCUCUCCGAAAUAUAUUUAGGUAUAGCGUUGUGUCGUAAUAUAAGGGGGUAGAGCACUGAAUGGGCUAGGGCAUACACCAAUGUACCAAACCCUAUCAAACUCCGAAUACCUUAUAUGUAAUCACAGCAGUCAGGCGGCGAGUGAUAAAAUCCGUCGUCAAGAGGGAAACAACCCAGACUACCAGCUAAGGUCCCUAAAUCUUACUUAAGUGGAAAACGAUGUGAAGUUACUUAAACAACCAGGAGGUUGGCUUAGAAGCAGCCAUCCUUUAAAGAAAGCGUAAUAGCUCACUGGUCUAGUGAUUUUGCGCGGAAAAUAUAACGGGGCUAAAGUAAGUACCGAAGCUGUAGACUUGACUUUGUCAAGUGGUAGGAGAGCGUUCUAUUUGCGUCGAAGGUAUACCGGUAAGGAGUGCUGGAGCGAAUAGAAGUGAGCAUGCAGGCAUGAGUAGCGAUAAUUAAUGUGAGAAUCAUUAACGCCGUAAACCCAAGGUUUCCUACGCGAUGCUCGUCAUCGUAGGGUUAGUCGGGUCCUAAGUCGAGUCCGAAAGGGGUAGACGAUGGCAAAUUGGUUAAUAUUCCAAUACCAACAUUAGUGUGCGAUGGAAGGACGCUUAGGGCUAAGGGGGCUAGCGGAUGGAAGUGCUCGUCUAAGGUCGUAGGUGCUUAUACAGGCAAAUCCGUAUAAGAAUACACCGAGAACUGAAAGGCUUUUUGAAGUCUUCGGAUGGAUAGAAGAACCCCUGAUGCCGUCGAGCCAAGAAAAGUUUCUAAGUUUAGCUAAUGUUGCCCGUACCGUAAACCGACACAGGUGGGUGGGAUGAGUAUUCUAAGGCGCGUGGAAGAACUCUCUUUAAGGAACUCUGCAAAAUAGCACCGUAUCUUCGGUAUAAGGUGUGGUUCGCUUCGUAUUAGGAUUUACUCCGAAAGCGAAGAAACUUACAACAAAGAGUCCCUCCCGACUGUUUACCAAAAACACAGCACUCUGCUAACUCGUAAGAGGAUGUAUAGGGUGUGACGCCUGCCCGGUGCUCGAAGGUUAAUUGAUGGGGUUAGCAUUAGCGAAGCUCUUGAUCGAAGCCCGAGUAAACGGCGGCCGUAACUAUAACGGUCCUAAGGUAGCGAAAUUCCUUGUCGGUUAAAUACCGACCUGCAUGAAUGGCGUAACGAGAUGGGAGCUGUCUCAAAGAGGGAUCCAGUGAAAUUGUAGUGGAGGUGAAAAUUCCUCCUACCCGCGGCAAGACGGAAAGACCCCGUGGACCUUUACUACAGCUUGACACUGCUAUUUGGAUAAGAAUGUGCAGGAUAGGUGGGAGGCUUUGAGUAUAUGACGCCAGUUGUAUAUGAGCCAUUGUUGAGAUACCACUCUUUCUUAUUUGGGUAGCUAACCAGCUUGAGUUAUCCUCAAGUGGGACAAUGUCUGGUGGGUAGUUUGACUGGGGCGGUCGCCUCCCAAAUAAUAACGGAGGCUUACAAAGGUUGGCUCAGAACGGUUGGAAAUCGUUCGUAGAGUAUAAAGGUAUAAGCCAGCUUAACUGCAAGACAUACAAGUCAAGCAGAGACGAAAGUCGGUCUUAGUGAUCCGGUGGUUCUGUGUGGAAGGGCCAUCGCUCAAAGGAUAAAAGGUACCCCGGGGAUAACAGGCUGAUCUCCCCCAAGAGCUCACAUCGACGGGGAGGUUUGGCACCUCGAUGUCGGCUCAUCGCAUCCUGGGGCUGGAGCAGGUCCCAAGGGUAUGGCUGUUCGCCAUUUAAAGCGGUACGCGAGCUGGGUUCAGAACGUCGUGAGACAGUUCGGUCCCUAUCUGCCGUGGGCGUAAGAAGAUUGAAGAGAUUUGACCCUAGUACGAGAGGACCGGGUUGAACAAACCACUGGUGUAGCUGUUGUUCUGCCAAGAGCAUCGCAGCGUAGCUAAGUUUGGAAAGGAUAAACGCUGAAAGCAUCUAAGCGUGAAGCCAACUCUAAGAUGAAUCUUCUCUAAGCUCUCUAGAAGACUACUAGUUUGAUAGGCUGGGUGUGUAAUGGAUGAAAGUCCUUUAGCUGACCAGUACUAAUAGAGCGUUUGGCUUAUCUUUA
rnacentral:rRNA from 1 species